rfam:Fusibacter sp. 3D3 DNA, contig: 7.
CACCGAUAACGGCAAACUAUUGGAAACAAUAGGACGCAAAGCUAAUGGGCCUUAACACUAGAAUGGCAGCCAAGCUACCGAA